rnacentral:misc_RNA from 1 species
CAGAGCAUCAUGCCCUUCGGGGUAGAUCUCCCACCCUGUGUAUUAUAUACCUUUUGUUGCUUUGGCGGGCCGCCUCGGCCACCGGCUCCGGCUGGUGCGUGCCCGCCAGAGGACCCCAAACUCUGAAUGUUAGUGUCGUCUGAGUACUAUCUAAUAGUUA